rnacentral:rRNA from 1 species
UACGUAGGGCGCAAGCGUUGUCCGGAAUUAUUGGGCGUAAAAGAGCUCGUAGGCGGCUUGUCACGUCGGGUGUGAAAGCCCGGGGCUUAACCCCGGGUCUGCAUUCGAUACGGGCUGGCUAGAGUGUGGUAGGGGAGAUCGGAAUUCCUGGUGUAGCGGUGAAAUGCGCAGAUAUCAGGAGGAACACCGGUGGCGAAGGCGGAUCUCUGGGCCAUUACUGACGCUGAGAAGCGAAAGCAUGGGGAGCGAACAGG